ensembl:lincRNA Gm30731 predicted gene, 30731
GGGAGAGGCAACUUCCUCUUGUCCUCUGGAGGUGUAGCCUACGUGCCCAGUAGGAUAUAUUGCCGGGUUGUGAAAUGUCCACGUCUCUCCCCAGCUGUCUUCCUUCCCAGCCCUCCCGGCUUGGCUUUCUUGCUUCCCCAGGAGUUCAAAUCUCCAACCUGCGGAAGAAUUCAGCUGCUUGAAAGGACUUAAAGCAGUGUGCGGAGGACAUCUCCUUUCUCCGCCAGUAAAGGGAGCUGUUCAAAGACCGAGGCUGCUUACGAUGACGUGGAGAGGAUUUCAAACAACCUUAACACACUCUUUGAACUGACAAGAAGCGGUGAUAUCUGCCUCACUCUGGCACAGCUCCUCCAGUGCACUUGCUAGGACAAUGGCUGAGAAAGCACUUGGUGCUGGCCUCUCUGCCUGGGGCGAGGACUGCCUAACCCCCAGAGACCCUACGGCUGGAGUUGCUGCACUACAAUGGAGAGGUCUUGUCUUAGGCUGCACCUCAGGUUCUCUCAGAUCUUCUGGAAGGGCGUUAUUCAGCGGUACUGUGGUUGCACUGUGCCAGCAGCUGCUUGAUGGAGACCUCUUCUCCCCACAUCUGAAUGGAACGUCUUUGCCCAGAGUCUACAGAAUGUCAAAACUGAGGCUCCGACCUCAGAGCUACAGCUUUAAGGACCACUCCACACAAAGAGGCAGCUGGUUGCUUUAAUGAAAACUGCCUUUAAGCUUCAAGAACUGAGGCCUUGGGGAAUACAUUUAUAAGGAGCCUAGAAAACGCAUUUCCAAGUUGUAUGUUCUUAGGAGAUACAAAAUAAAAUUUACCUGAAAAAAAUUAAUUGU